rnacentral:rRNA from 1 species
CUUGCCUACGGGACGCAGCAGUGGGGAAUAUUGCACAAUGGGGGAAACCCUGAUGCAGCGACGCCGCGUGAAGGAAGAAGUAUUUCGGUAUGUAAACUUCUAUCAGCAGGGAAGAAAAAUGACGGUACCUGAGUAAGAAGCACCGGCUAAAUGCGUGCCAGCAGCCGCGGUAAUACGUAUGGUGCAAGCGUUAUCCGGAUUUACUGGGUGUAAAGGGAGCGCAGGCGGUGCGGCAAGUCUGAUGUGAAAGCCCGGGGCUCAACCCCGGGACUGCAUUGGAAACUACCGAACUAGAGUGUCGGAGG